rnacentral:rRNA from 1 species
UACGGGGAGGCAGACGUUGUUCGGAAUUACUGGGCGUAAAGGGCGCGUAGGUGGCCUUCUAAGUUGAACGUGAAAUCCCUGGGCUCAACCCAGGAACUGCGUCCAAGACUGGGAGGCUUGAAUCCGGGAGAGGGAUGCGGAAUUCCAGGUGUAGCGGUGAAAUGCGUAGAUAUCUGGAGGAACACCGGUGGCGAAGGCGGCAUCCUGGACCGGCAUUGACGCUGAGGCGCGAAAGCCAGGGGAGCAAAGCGGG